rnacentral:piRNA from 1 species
UCUUCCAGAGGUCCUCAGUUUAACUCCCAGU